GCCACCUUCCAGAGCAAGCAAUUUUAUUUUGCUCUAUAUGAUUCUUUGGGGGGGGGGAAUCCAGUACCCUGUCCCCCGCUACAGGAGAUUAUCCGGCAUCAAAAAAUUGCAGAAUGAUCCCCUUUGAUCUUCCCCGGCGGUGUCCGUAUUUAAAAUCUUUAGAGUGAGUAAGGAAUUGCUCCUCCGCAGAGUUCUUCCGGUGUAUCCGGCUAAACUUCACCGUGACUUAUAAACGGCAUUCUUUGAUGAUCUCGCUGUUAGAGUCCCGGAGGAUCUGACUGACCUCCCACAACUGAACCGCAAAGCUGCUAAAGCUGCUGGCGCGCUCCAGGGCGAAGCCACAGCGUGUUAAUCUUGGCGUAGCAAUUCAUAGUCUCUCGUGGAUUUUGACGAAAGUAGAACCGAAAAGCGCUCUAAUCGAUCUCUUGGAAAAAUACCAAGGGAAUGGACCAAGCGACCCUCUGGACAGCACGUAACUUGUUGGCAGACGCCAGCCCAAGCCUGACUGCCCGCUCAGUGUCGUAGCGGGGACAAGGGCCUGAAAGAAAGCCAGGUUCCUAACUAGGAUCUCUGAGCAGGUGGAGUUGCCCUCAAUCCCAAGCCACUGGAAAGCGCAGUAACAACAACUGCGUUUCAGAAACAAACAACGCCCCGGCCAGCUAUUCCCUGCUGGGCGACGCAAGGGGGAUGUCUGUCACAACCUCAUCAAGCGUCGCUGCCAAGAACACCGCGGGAAGCCUGCAAGGCUGGCGCCAGGACAGCUGCAACGGCAGCAAACGCCGAGAUCGCCCGUCCCUGUGCCCACGGAGUUGGGGGACAACGUCGCCGCCGCAGUCCUCGCCUCGCCCUGCUUCGUCCGGCAGCCGCUGCUGCAAUUCCCCCGGCGGCUCCCUCCAGUCGCUCUCCAAGGUGCUGAAAUCGCAAGCUGCCGCGGCGCCAACAGCGGCUCCUCCUCCAGACCCACCCGGGGCUCGCGCCAGGACGGGAGAGGAUGGACCGACUAUACUUCGUAGGGAAAGGAGCGGAAAAAGGACAGCCCAAAGAGCCAAUGGGAAGAGGAUAGAGCUGAGAGAGACUCAGCCUGGGAAGAGACGAGAGAGAGCCAAAAGGUCCAAUGAUAUGGCAUCAACAGUCCCAUGAAUAUUGGUAGGACAAAAGGAGCAACAUUUCAACAAUUAGGUCUACGUGUAUGAGCCACUCAGCACACAUCAAAGCAGUAGUUCAAACAAGGCGAUGAAAGAAUCCAAGGUAUCUUAGAUCUACUUCAGAAAGAAACGAGACAGUUGGAGCAUGAAAGAGAAAAAGUAGAAGAGAAGAAUGCUGGAUAAAUAAGCAUUGUAAAGGUGGGGGGAAAUUCACCUACAUGGUACAUGCAUGUUCAUAUUGUCCUCCGUGUUCAGUAAGGCUGAAUUAGGAGCUUUAAAGCUAUGUACCUUUUUCCCUGAAGGAAAACAUGACAUUUUAAAGGAAGCAGUAUGUUUUAUUAUUUUUUAA
rnacentral:lncRNA from 1 species